GACGAACGCUGGCGGCGUGCUUAACACAUGCGAGUCGAACGGAAAGGCCCUGCUUUUGUGGGGUGCUCGAGUGGCGAACGGGUGAGUAAGACGUGAGUAACCUGCCCUUGACUUUGGGAUAACUUCAGGAAACUGGGGCUAAUACCGGAUAGGAGCUCCAGCUGCAUGGAGGGGGUUGGAAAGUGUCGGCGGUUGGGGAUGGACUCGCGGCUUAUCAGCUUGGUGGUGGGGUAGUGGCUUACCAAGGCUUUGACGGGUAGCCGGCCUGAGAGGGUGACCGGCCACACUGGGACUGAGAGACGGCCCAGUCUCCUACGGGGGGCAGCGCUGGGGAAUAUUGUACACUGGGCGGACGCCUGAUGCAGAAACGCCGCGUGCGGGAUGACGGCCUUCGGGUUGUAAACCGCUUUCGCCUGUGACGAAGCGUGAGUGACGGUAAUGGGUAAAGAAGCACCGGCUAACUACGUG
rnacentral:rRNA from 1 species